rnacentral:rRNA from 1 species
AGUCGAGCGAGAAAGUCCCCUUCGGGGGGCGAGUCAGCGGCGGACGGGUGAGUAACGCGUGGACGACCUACCCAAAUGGUCGGGAUAACCUUGCGAAAGCGGGGCUAAUACCGGAUAGUCCUGGUUUAUUGAGAAUAUGCCGGGUAAAGGUGGCCUCUGAUUCAAGCUAUCGUCUUUGGAUGGGUCCGCGUCCCAUUAGCUUGUUGGUAGGGUAACGGCCUACCAAGGCGACGAUGGGUAGCUGGUCUGAGAGGAUGAUCAGCCACACUGGGACUGGAACACGGCCCAGACUCCUACGGGAGGCAGCAGUGGGGAAUAUUGGGCAAUGGGCGCAAGCCUGACCCAGCAACGCCGCGUGAGGGAAGAAGGUCUUCGGAUCGUAAACCUCAGUCAGGAGGGAAGAAGUGGGUUGUCCUGAACAGGGACGAUCUUUGACGGUACCUCCAGAGGAAGCACCGGCCAACUCCGUGCCAGCAGCCGCGGUAAUACGGAGGGUGCAAGCGUUAUUCGGAAUCACUGGGCGUAAAGCGCACGUAGGCGGCUUUGCAAGUCAGGUGUGAAAGCCCUCGGCUCAACCGAGGAAUGCCUUGAAACUGCAGAGCUGGAGUUCGGGAGAGGUGGCGGAAUUCCCCGUGUAGGAGUGAAAUCCGUAGAUAUCUGGAGGAACACCAGAGGCGAAAGCGGNCACCUGGACCGAAACUGACGCUGAGGUGCGAAAGCGUGGGGAGCA